rnacentral:rRNA from 1 species
AGAUAACUAACCUGAGGAAAAGAAACUACCUAGGAUCGCCUCAGUAACGGCGAGCGAAGCGGCAAGAGCUCAAACUGGAAAUCUCUGCUCCCGCGGGGCAGCGAAGCAUAAUAUAAAGGUGGGGUGCUAUAACGGAUGUGGAGCAGAAGUGUCUUAGAACGGACCGCCAGAGAGGGUGACAGCCCUGUGGUUGGUUCAUAUAUACGAUCAGCCCUUAGACGACGAGUGGGGAAGUUUUGUAUUGCACCCCUAAGUGGGAGAUAACAUUCUUUUAGGGCUAAAUAUCAUAUGUGGAAACCGAUAGCGCACAACAGCUGUGAAGGAAAGAUGAAAAGACCUUUGAAAAGAGAGUCAAAAGACUUGAAAUCUGUUGAGAAGGAAGCGGUAGAAAUUUCUUCUUCGCCAGUCAUUAUAGGUUUUCUCUUAUCUAUUCCGGAGCUAAGGUCCGCCAGCCCUGCCGUCGGUCUGGUGGAAGAGGGGUUGUCGUGGGUGUUGUGAGGCAAAAUGGGAUUGUAUUUCUGCAAAGGCGCUUGUCGCGUGGGGGGCUUCGCCUCUCAACGA